rnacentral:misc_RNA from 1 species
UCUCCGUUGGUGUACCAGCGGAGGGAUCAUUACAGGACUCGCAAGACUCCUUCACCCUGUGAACCUCACUACAAGCACGUUGCUUCGGCGGGUGUCCCGGCGGGGGUUUUCCCUCGCCGAGGCGCACAGCCCGCCGGCAGCCUACUAUACUCUGUCUCUUUGCGUUGGCAUCUCGAGAAAAAACAAACAAGUUAAAACUUUCAACAACGGAUCUCUUGGUUCUG